ACGCGCGACGGAGUGUUAGCGUUAACGUAAGUUUUUUUUAAUUUGUGGAAAGAAUCGAGCACCUAGUAGCUCAAAAUAUGGGAAGUAUGGCCAGCAAAAUUACGAGGAUACUCUUCUAAAGUAGGUUGAAGAGACUGGCAGCGAUAAUAGCAAAAUAGUGACAUAGAAUCCGAAUGUGGCAAAAAUUUUGCCAUAGAGAGCGAUCAUGAUUAUGAAUUCGAAUUAUAAGAUGAUGAAAAAAUGGAUGUGAACGAUCAGUA